GCCGAGAUGGCGGAACUGGCAGACGCGCUACAUUCAGGAUGUAGUAGGAGCAAUCCUGUCGGAGUUCAAAUCUCCGUCUCGGCA
rnacentral:tRNA from 1 species